rnacentral:lncRNA from 1 species
AUGGGAGGGAAGGGUUAAGGAUGCGAGUUGUAUCUUUCGUGCGAAAGAAUGAUUGAUCUUUUAUGACAUUGCUCAUUAGAUUGCAUUUCAUAUAUAUCUCAAAACACUUCAAAGUUUUCCAUUCAUUUGCAUGCGUAGAUCUCGAAGCAACUACUGCACGAUCCGACGAUAGAUUCGUGCGAAGAAAGAUAAAUCUUUCUUUUGCGCAAAAGAUACAACCAUGUCUCGAGAUGGAAUAAGGGAUAGAGAGGAUAAGAAAGA